GCGGUGCUUUGCAGCACACUUUGCCGUAAAUCUGAGGAGCUCUCUGCAAACAGCCUCUUUAUGACAGAGAACAAGGUGCCGCAGUGCAUACGUAUGCAGUCGUGGCAACGAACAAAGAACAAAAACAUUGUUACUGCAAUGUACUGCUGCUUGUUACGUUUUCGACCUCAGAUGACGACUCAACAUAAAAAAAUGGUAAUUGAGAGAUGUAAAGUCAUCAACUACAGUGUAAGUACUUUUCCACCGCUUAUGUAUGGCAUGGUGGUGUUCAUACAAUAGCAAGCUAAUUGAUGUCCGUUAAACACUACAUCCCCGUACGCUCUUCUGACAAUUUGAUUCCACUUGUGGCACUUGUAGCAUUGAGAAGCAUUUACUGUUUAUUCAGCACUUCACAUGUGGGAAGGUGUCAUCUUCUCCCAGCUUAGAGCACGUUUCCAGCAACCUCAUCCCGCCAUGGCAGUCUAACCUGAUGAAUCUACACACGCAUCUCCCAGCUGCACAGCUCACAGGCUUCUUUCAGCAACUGAACCUGCCAACAGCUUGAGCGCUAAUCUCCAGUGAUUUCUCUCCGAGUCAUUUUCUUUAUUGUCUUUCGAACGUAAAUGUUGCUGACUGAUACUUCUGUUCUUCCACUUUCCAAAUCUCUUUACACACCUUUUCUCAAAAUGAGUGGAAGAAUAAACGAAAAAAAUGAGUGGCUGGUAAUGAUUCAAGAGAAUGCAGGUGGUUGUGAGAGCUGUAUAGCAAAUCCUUACAAACACUGAGAUAGAAGCAUAAAACGUGUUCUCUGCUGUAAAGACAAGUGCUGCAAAUUCUGCAAGGAGGUCUCGCAGCCACAUGAACUACUGAUACAAUACUUCUUCAUAUAUUCCCUGGAAUUCUCCAUGACAACUAGCAUAUCCUCGCAGAUGUGGCAGGAGCACUCCAGGCAACACACAUGCUGCCUGAAGAAGGUCCAAUACAAGAAAUAGUUCAUGCUCAGAUUCAAUUGCCAUUGUUUCAGAGCUAAUAUGUCUAUUGCGAAUGUAGUUUUGCAGUGAUGUAGAACUACACUUAAUCAUACUGAGAGCUGUUUCUCAUAUACGGUAUUCAGUAAUACGGUACAGAAAAUUGUGACCACAACAAUAAACAUAUUCAUUCAAUAUAUCAAUUAAUACAUACAGCUCUACUGUAUGUAAAAGUCCUAAAAGUGUUAGGUUAGUUUAAUUGUCCUUUACAGAUCAGUAAUGUUGACAUAUUACAAUAAUUAAAGGUGAGUUUGCAGUUUCUUUAAACGACUAGCAAGGUUUGAAGUUGCCUCUCUUGUGUCUGUAUAUCUUUAGUCGUUUUAUAUUUCAGAAGACCAAAGAGGAAAUCUUUUCUUUGAUGAUGAUGACAACGA